UACAGAGGGGGCAAGCGUUGUUCGGAAUUACUGGGCGUAAAGGGCGCGUAGGCGGCCUGUUAAGUCAGACGUGAAAUCCCUCGGCUCAACCGGGGAACUGCGUCUGAUACUGGCGGGCUUGAGUUCGGGAGAGGGAUGUGGAAUUCCAGGUGUAGCGGUGAAAUGCGUAGAUAUCUGGAGGAACACCGGUGGCGAAGGCGGCAUCCUGGACCGACAUUGACGCUGAGGCGCGAAAGCCAGGGGAGCAAACGGG
rnacentral:rRNA from 1 species